UACGUAGGUGGCAAGCGUUGUCCGGAAUUACUGGGUGUAAAGGGAGCGCAGGCGGGAAGCCAAGUCAGCUAUGAAAACUACGGGCUUAACUUGUAGACUGCAGUUGAAACUGGUUUUCUUGAGUGAAGUAGAGGUUGGCGGAAUUCCGAGUGUAGCGGUGAAAUGCGUAGAUAUUCGGAGGAACACCGGUGGCGAAGGCGGCCAACUGGGCUUUAACUGACGCUGAGGCUCGAAAGUGUGGGGAGCAAACAGG
rnacentral:rRNA from 1 species